UGAGAACCUUGUACAGAAGCAGCAGGGGAUGUCCACAAGUAUAGCAAUGAACCUGACUGGGACUCAUGAUUUUUCCCUUAAACAAAGGGCCAAUAAGGUGGACUAAAGGUAUAGAGGCCGAGAUGUAUCCCACCACACUGCAGCCAUUUAGGAAGGAACUGCUUUAACCUAGUGUUGGAAAGGAUUGCACUUAUUUAAGGAACAGGACAAAGACGUUUUGCCACUACUAUAGUGUUGCCACUGGAAAAGAAGGAAGACAAACAAUAAGAAGUUUUGAGUUUCCCAGCAAGAGUUUUCAUCUUCUAGAAUGCGUGUUUUAAAUGUUUACUGCAAUUAGUAUGGGAAAAGUGAAAAUAAUGAAGAAAUGUUGUCACUUGUAUGUCUAUGUUGGAAUAAUUCACACUGCUAUAUAAAAACCUCCAUGUUUUAGCAAGCAUAACAAUAAAAGUCAGUGGGGACUCACUGUA